GAGACGUGAAACCGUUAUAGUGGAAGCGGAUAGAGUCGACGUAUCCAGUGCGUAUUCAGCCAUUUUGCGGGGCGAUUUGUUCGUUCGAAGUUCUGCAAAGUCUUCAGCGGACAUUGUCGUCUUGUGAAGUGGUGCAUUUGCGUACAGAGUGCGCCGAAUCAAUCGAGUCCGCUGUUUGAGGGCUGCAAAGAGGACAAGUCUUCGGAUUUGAAACCUGGGCAAUCGGAUGACAGAUGGGCUUGAUUGUCAAAUUGGAGCUGGUAUUUCGUGGCAGUGGUUGUGAGUCGGGGGCGUUUACGUACGAUACAUGUGUUUUGCGUUCAUACUCUUGACUUGUGGUCGUUGCUGCUCUGCUCCAUAUUCGGUGUUUAGUCGAUCACCUAUUUGACCCGUCUUGAAACACGGACCAAGGAGUUUAAGGUGUACGCAAGUCAUUGAUUGUUGAAAGUCAAAGGCGUAAUGAAAGUGGGACACUUGGUGUCUGUGAUGUGAGCCGAGUUCGUUUCGACGGGCCUGGCGCAACAUCGACCCAUGACUAGGACUUGUUCUGUUGUGGAGUCUGAGCGUACGCUUUGAGACCCGAAACAUGGUGAACUAUGCCUGAACCGGACGAAGUCAGAGGAAACUCUGAUGGAAGUCCGAAGCGGUUCUGACGUGCAACUCGAUCGUCUGAUUUGGGUAUAGAGG
rnacentral:rRNA from 1 species